GUUGGUGAACCAGCGGAGGGAUCAUUACCGAGUUAUACAACUCCCAAACCCCUGUGAACUUACCUAUAACGUUGCUUCGGCGGGAAACCGACGGCCCCGUAAGACGGGCCGCCCCCGCCAGAGGACCCCCUAACUCUUGUUAUAUCCUGCUUCUCUGAGUACAACAAGCAAAUAAAUUAAAACUUUCAACAACGGAUCUCUUGGCUCUGGCAUCGAUGAAGAACGCAGCGAAACGCGAUAAGUAAUGUGAAUUGCAGAAUUUAGUGAAUCAUCGAAUCUUUGAACGCACAUUGCGCCCGCCAGUAUUCUGGCGGGCAUGCCUGUCCGAGCGUCAUUACAACCCUCAGGCCCCCGGGCCUGGUGUUGGGGAUCGGCGGAGCCCUCCGGGCACACGCCGUCCCCCAAAUUCAGUGGCGGUCUCGCUGCAGCCUCCAUUGCGUAGUAGCUAACACCUCGCAACUGGAAGGCGGCGCGGCCACGCCGUAAAACCCCCCAACUUCUGAAUGUUGACCUCGGAUCAGGUAGGAAUACCCGCUGAAC
rnacentral:rRNA from 1 species